GGGACACGUGGUAUCCUGUCUGAAUAUGGGGGGACCAUCCUCCAAGGCUAAAUACUCCUGACUGACCGAUAGUGAACCAGUACCGUGAGGGAAAGGCGAAAAGAACCCCGGCGAGGGGAGUGAAAAAGAACCUGAAACCGUGUACGUACAAGCAGUGGGAGCACGCUUAGGCGUGUGACUGCGUACCUUUUGUAUAAUGGGUCAGCGACUUAUAUUCUGUAGCAAGGUUAACCGAAUAGGGGAGCCGAAGGGAAACCGAGUCUUAACUGGGCGUUAAGUUGCAGGGUAUAGACCCGAAACCCGGUGAUCUAGCCAUGGGCAGGUUGAAGGUUGGGUAACACUAACUGGAGGACCGAACCGACUAAUGUUGAAAAAUUAGCGGAUGACUUGUGGCUGGGGGUGAAAGGCCAAUCAAACCGGGAGAUAGCUGGUUCUCCCCGAAAGCUAUUUAGGUAGCGCCUCGUGAAUUCAUCUCCGGGGGUAGAGCACUGUUUCGGCAAGGGGGUCAUCCCGACUUACCAACCCGAUGCAAACUGCGAAUACCGGAGAAUGUUAUCACGGGAGACACACGGCGGGUGCUAACGUCCGUCGUGAAGAGGGAAACAACCCAGACCGCCAGCUAAGGUCCCAAAGUCAUGGUUAAGUGGGAAACGAUGUGGGAAGGCCCAGACAGCCAGGAUGUUGGCUUAGAAGCAGCCAUCAUUUAAAGAAAGCGUAAUAGCUCACUGGUCGAGUCGGCCUGCGCGGAAGAUGUAACGGGGCUAAACCAUGCACCGAAGCUGCGGCAGCGACGCUUAUGCGUUGUUGGGUAGGGGAGCGUUCUGUAAGCCUGUGAAGGUGUGCUGUGAGGCAUGCUGGAGGUAUCAGAAGUGCGAAUGCUGACAUAAGUAACGAUAAAGCGGGUGAAAAGCCCGCUCGCCGGAAGACCAAGGGUUCCUGUCCAACGUUAAUCGGGGCAGGGUGAGUCGACCCCUAAGGCGAGGCCGAAAGGCGUAGUCGAUGGGAAAC
rnacentral:rRNA from 1 species